UGGAACCUAAUCCCCCCGAGUUUCCCCUUCUAAUCCACGCCGUGUCCAAUGAGGAGAGAGUUGAGGCACUUUUGUCCUACGAGUCGAGCGCAUCACGGUCGCCUCGUCACGGUCGAGAGAAAUUGGAACGUUCUUUAUCCGAACGCGACGUUCGGAUGUAAAACGCCGGCGUGUGAUUGGUCGAUGGGAGCGUGAGGAACACGAGUCUCCUCUCCUUUCAUGUGGCAAAUGCUGAUGGCGAUCACGGUGGAGUCAACACACACCGGGCAGCUGGGACUCGGGCCGACAGCUGAUAGCCGGAGACAUGCUGAGGGGGGAGAGGGAGCGGCGAGGCGUCUCUAUCCGGGGUUUCUGAAGCACACGCGGAACGCUGAAGUAUUCACACUCCCCCCCAAAACUCUGAUCUCCAGCUGGCUCUGUGGGGGGGGGACCCCUUUAAACCGACUGGGCCGAGGCCGCCUUGGUUUUGAGUGCAGGGAGAAGGAUGAAACAUGAAAGAAAUCAAAGACCUUUGCGGCUUUAUCCCCUUUUUGGAUACCAACAAUUUGGAAAAAGUGCCCAUUUUGAAUUAAAUUCAAUUAAAUGUGUUUAUUUUAUACAGCCCAAUAUCAUAAAUUACGAUUUUUUUUUUUUUUGCCUCAGAGGGCUUUACAAUCUGUACACAUACGAUAUCCCUGACCUUUGACCUCACAUCGGAUCAGGAAAAAGUCCCCCCAAGAAAAAGAAAAAAACUUUCACGGGGGGAAAAAGUGAAGAGGAUUUCUUCUCCGGGAUGGACAGAAGCAUGUCGUGUUUAGGAAUGUGGACGCGUGAAAGCGAACGCGAUUCGCAUUUUUUUGGGCCUCAUCUUCACGUCUCGCUCGUCUUCGUAAGCCAAGGUUUUCAUCCCGCGUUUGAGCGUGGAUCUUUGGAACGGGUGUGAACACUCUGGCCUUCGAAUGCGGUCUUAGUUCGAGCCGGUUCCAAAAAGAAAAGAAAAACCUGGAGCUAAAAUUUGCUAAAAUCCAAAAAGUUCAUUUUAUUUCGGAUUAAUCAUUAAUACUUAUGAGCCUGUGAUAUUUCAGUUUUUCUUUUUUAAUAAAUUUGCAAAGAUUUCUACA